rnacentral:rRNA from 1 species
CGGGUGAGUAACACGUGAGUAACCUGCCCUUAACUCUGGGAUAAGCCUGGGAAACUGGGUCUAAUACCGGAUAUGACUCCUCAUCGCAUGGUGGGGGGUGGAAAGCUUUUUGUGGUUUUGGAUGGACUCCCGGCCUAUCAGCUUGUUGGUGAGGUAAUGGCUUACCAAGGCGACGACGGGUAGCCGGCCUGAGAGGGUGACCGGCCACACUGGGACUGAAACACGGCCCAGACUCCUACGGGAGGCAGCAGUGGGGAAUAUUGCACAAUGGGCGGAAGCCUGAUGCAGCGACGCCGCGUGAGGGAUGACGGCCUUCGGGUUGUAAACCUCUUUCAGUAGGGAAGAAGCGAAAGUGACGGUACCUGCAGAAGAAGCGCCGGCUAACUACGUGCCAGCAGCCGCGGUAAUACGUAGGGCGCAAGCGUUAUCCGGAAUUAUUGGGCGUAAAGAGCUCGUAGGCGGUUUGUCGCGUCUGCCGUGAAAGUCCGGGGCUCAACUCCGGAUCUGCGGUGGGUACGGGCAGACUAAAGUGAUGUAGGGGAGACUGGAAUUCCUGGUGUAGCGGUGAAAU